UACGGGGGGGGUAAGCGUUGUUCGGAAUUACUGGGCGUAAAGCGUGCGCAGGCGGCUUUGCAAGACAGAUGUGAAAUCCCCGGGCUCAACCUGGGAACUGCAUUUGUGACUGCAAGGCUAGAGUACGGUAGAGGGGGAUGGAAUUCCGCGUGUAGCAGUGAAAUGCGUAGAUAUGCGGAGGAACACCGAUGGCGAAGGCAAUCCCCUGGACCUGUACUGACGCUCAUGCACGAAAGCGUGGGGAGCAAACAGG
rnacentral:rRNA from 1 species